rnacentral:rRNA from 1 species
UUCUUGAUNGAUCAUAAUGCCUGGAAUGGUUUAUGGUUAAAAUGAUUCGUCGCCAUAGGAUGGGACUGCGGCCUAUCAGCUUGUUGGUGAGGUAAUGGCCUACCAAGGCGAUUACAGGUACGGGCUCUGAGAGGAGAAGCCCGGAGAUGGGUACUGAGACACNGGACCCAGGCCCUAUGGGGCGCAGCAGGCGAGAAAACUUUGCAAUGUGCGAAAGCACGACAAGGUUAAUCCGAGUGAUUUCUGCUAAAGAAAUCUUUUGCCAGUCAUAAUACCACUGGUGAAUAAGGGGUGGGCAAGUUCUGGUGUCAGCCGCCGCGGUAAAACCAGCACCUCAAGUGGUCAGGAUGAUUAUUGGGCCUAAAGCUUCCGUAGCCGGCUUUGUUAGUUUUCGGUUAAAUCCAUGUGCUCAACGCAUGGGCUGCCGAAAAUACUGCAUGGCUAGGGAGUGGGAGAGGUAGACGGUACUCAGUAGGAAGGGGUAAAAUCCUUUGAUCUAUUGAUGACCACCUGUGGCGAAGGCGGUCUACCAGAACACGUUCGACGGUGAGGGAUGAAAGCUGGGGGAGCAAACCGGAUAGAUACCCGGGUAGUCCCAGCUGUAAACNAUGCAGACUCGAUGAUGCAUUGGCAUAAUAGCCAGUGC